GUGAGUGGCGCCGGCCUGUGUGUUUGUGUGCUUGCGUGGGGGAUAGAUGCGUGGGAUAGAGGCGAUUCAGGGCGCCCAGCAACAUCGCCGCCAUAUGUACCUUGCACUUGUGAGCAAGCUCCCACGCACGCACAAACCCACACGUGCAAACAAGAGGCACCCAAGAGCACACGCACGCCCCUCCUGCCACAGACGAUGCGGCUGCUGAACGAGUACGGUGUGGUGCUGGAGGGCAUCCUGCUCAAGCCCAACAUGUGCCUGCCCGGUGAGAAGGGUGGGGGGGGAGCCGCUGGGGGCAGCAGUGGCGGGGAGGGGGGGGGGGCAGCAGCAGCGGCAGGGAGGGAGGCACGGCGUGGAGGAAUGGGUAUGGUUGUGGAACUAGAGCCAGGAGCGGCACAUGUGCCACAUCUGGACUGCGGCGUGGGGCGCGUGCAUAAAGGGUGUCGGCAGGCAACAGGGUCCGUCUAAGCCCGCUAAUCCCUUGCCCACACUGCCCCCUCGUCCCUCGCCCCCCUCCCUGCCUCCGCAGGCCUGGACGCGCCCGUGGCCUCGCCCCAGCUGGUGGCGGAGGUGACCACGCGCACCAUGAUGCGCUCCAUCCCGCCCGCAGUGCCCGGCAUCCACUUCCUGUCCGGCGGCAUGAGCGAGGAGGAGUCCACGCUCAACCUGCAGGUGUGUGUGGGGGGGGGGGCGGGGUGAGGGGAGGUAGGAGGGUACCGGAGACCAUAUUGGAAGUCAGGACUAUCAGUGGGGACUGAUCGGCCGGGGGCGUCCUCUGUUGCAGAGCCUGCUAAUUGACUGACCACCACCAUCGCCACCGCCCCCCGUGUCCCAUGCGGCACCCGCAGGCCCUGAACGAGGCAUGCCCCAACGCCCCCUGGGCCCUGACCUUCUCCUACGGCCGCGCCCUGCAGUCGUCCACCCUCAAGGUGCGCUUCGCCACCGCUUCAGCCGCCCCCCUAUACGCCGACUGCCCCGCACGUCCCUGAUUGGUGGCGGGAGGGCGCGCUGACUUGGUUGAGGGUGCAUCGCCGCAGCCAUGAUGCCGACGUGACAACCUUGGCCCUCUGACAAUGAGCCUGCCUGCCCCUCUACUCCCUGAAUCCGGUCGCAGACCUGGGCCGGCAAGGAGUCCAACUGGGCCGCUGCUCAGGUGGGGCAAGGCGUGGUUUGGGGAGGCGGCAGGGAUCAAGGAAACGGCCGGCGUGCGUGCUGCGAACAGGGCUCUUGACGCCUUGCAUUUCCCCCAUCACACCACCAAACACAGAAAACGCGAGCCCAACCUAACUUACCAUUUCUCAAACCCCAACUCCCCCCUGGUUCCCCCUCCAGGACAUCCUGCUCAAGCUGGCCAAGGCCAACUCGGAGGCCUCCACCGGCUCCUUCAAGGGGCCGCACCCCGUGCCCGGCGGCGGCCGCAUCCUGCAGGCCCUGCGCACCGGCGGCGCCGGCAAGUAAGCGCCUCGGCAGCGCCGUGGCCCGUGCAACUGUGUGGAGAGGCGGUUGGCGACUUGACACGUGGCAUGGCCUGGACACGCCUGUGAUGGGCAGUGCCCACCCAGAAUUUUGGGAGAGAGCGUUGAGUUAGGCCAAGAGGCGCAGGGUUUGCAGGCUGCCAGUUGUCAAGCUGGUAUUCGGGGCCGCGCCCAGUUUUGGAAGCGCAGGGAUUUUGCGAGCGGUCAUGUGAGCAGUUUUGGAUGCGGUGCUUUGUGCUGGUGUUGUGGGUGUCCGGAGUGGUGAGCGGGUGCGGCAUUUUGGCUUGCCAGCCGCGGGCGGCGUGCAUAUGCCCAGUGAUCCUGGUCAUGUGGUGAAGAGGAAAUGCCCGAUGUAAAAAUGAAUUUGUGAAAACAAGAACAUGCAAUGCAGACCGGAGUCUGCCCAACCAGGGGCGCCUCUGCGCCCAACUUAUCUGACCCCUCCCGCGGUCCCGCCGAAGCUCGGUGAUGUCAAUGGUGAUGCGCCUGCCUGGGUCCCCACAGAUACCGCGGCCCUUCGUCUGCGAAGAUUUAGCCAUGCGUCCCGGCAACAUGGUGGCGGUGGCAUGCCUGUAAACGCGUAGCCUACUGCCCCAGCCAGUUCUAGCGCGUAAGUUGGGAGGAGGGUAAUAACGGGCAUUGGGGCAAGCUGUGUCUGGCCGUGCAUGCACAGCACCCACCAGCACGAGGCAGCAGCCUGACAGGCUGCAUAUUGAGCCACUGCGGUGCGUCGUGGGCCUUUAUUGGCUGUGAAUUGCGAAGAGAUGCAUCGACGCUGGGACCGACUGAGAAGAAGCCCUGGUGGCGCCGCAGCGUGUGUGGCGUAACCCUCAAACACAUUGACCCACCUCACCCAAGGAGUCUUUCUCUGCUCCCGUCUCCCUCCCACUGGAUGUAUAGACGUUAUAUGGAAUGGUUCUUG
rnacentral:lncRNA from 1 species